AGUGAACGCUGGCGGUAGGCCUAACACAUGCAAGUCGAACGGCAGCACAGUAAGAGCUUGCUCUUACGGGUGGCGAGUGGCGGACGGGUGAGGAAUACAUCGGAAUCUACUUUUUCGUGGGGGAUAACGUAGGGAAACUUACGCUAAUACCGCAUACGACCUACGGGUGAAAGCAGGGGAUCUUCGGACCUUGCGCGAUUGAAUGAGCCGAUGUCGGAUUAGCUAGUUGGCGGGGUAAAGGCCCACCAAGGCGACGAUCCGUAGCUGGUCUGAGAGGAUGAUCAGCCACACUGGAACUGAGACACGGCCCAGACUCCUACGGGAGGCAGCAGUGGGGAAUAUUGGACAAUGGGCGCAAGCCUGAUCCAGCCAUACCGCGUGGGUGAAGAAGGCCUUCGGGUUGUAAAGCCCUUUUGUUGGGAAAGAAAAGCAGCAGGUUAAUACCCCGCUGUUCUGACGGUACCCAAAGAAUAAGCACCGGCUAACUUCGU
rnacentral:rRNA from 1 species